UCAGGGUAGCAGCGGAAGUUGUGUGUUUGGGCGCUUUCUGCAACGGUACAUCAAAUGCUUCAUGGUAGUUGUUUAUUUUUCCUAUUUUUCAUUCUGUAAACUAUGGCCUUAGCUGCUCUAAAGCUGUAACAGGAGCAGUGUCCUUCGGACGCAAUGAGAACAGCACCUGGGGGCUGGAGGGACAGCUCAGCCGUUAAAGGCUAGGCCCACAACCAAAAAUAUAAGAGAAUAGCACCUAGGAAGUUGACUGAUGGUUUAGUAAGAUUCCAGGAUACUGGACUGCUCUACUUACUGUAACUUAGGCAAAGAAGCAUUUUUAAAGUUCUUCAGGACGCUUCACUUAAAGGAAAGAUGACAGGUAUAGCAAAGUAAAUGUGGCUGCUCAGUUGCCUCCCAGCUAGGUGUGAGACAGCGCUUUGCCCUCUUAAGUCAAAGCAAAUGAUGUUACAGAGUCGCUUCCCGAUUUGCAGCUCGAUCCAGAAGGUCGAUGCUAACUGAGAAGUCUCCGGAAUUGGAUCAAAUUUUCAAUUCAAAUGAAGAGAGCAACUACGCAUCUCAUGCCUCAUAGAUCUCCAAAUUUAACUCGAAGCCUGCUCCCUCCUUCCAGAUGGCUUAUGUAGUGGGAGUGGGGGACAGAAUUAGCAAGCAAACCCAGAGAGACACAGUUCUCUGCGCCCAACGCUGUCUACCUCGCUGCCAGCUUUUACUGAAUCUGGUGUUACCAAGGAGAACAGCACAGAGGAAAAUGUAGCAUGCCCUCUGGCAGCCCGACCACCUGGACAAAGCGUGAGGAGUCUACGGCUGACGCUGAGGGGAACACCAGAAUUCAGUGGCAGGGUCUUUGCAAGAAGCCUCAUUUAGUCUUGAAUUCCAGGAACCUGGGAGCUAAGAAAAGCUUUGUUGUGUGGCAGACAGCUUCAGAUCCGGCAUUCAUGAAACAGGGGAAAAAAUCAAAUGGGACCAUCCAUUAACAGAUAUGGCGACAUCGCCGUGCAAGAGGGAUUUUGUACAGGAUGGGAGGAAUGGUCACAGCUAUCUGCAAACUGUCUACAAAGUCACCACUCUGGCCACUGUCGAGACCUGAGGCGACAGAUGAUGAGAGUCCAAAUGGACCGCUGACUUGUGUGUGAUUACGAACAAAUAAGCAAUGACCAUUGAGGCAACUAAAGUUCUGAGACAGUCUGUGCAAACUAACUGAAACAACUUCUGAACCCACAAGCUAGACAAAUAACCCCCCUCUUUUUUUCAGUUUCCUG